UACAGAGGGUGCGAGCGUUUGUUCGGAAUUAUUGGGCGUAAAGCGCUGGUAGGUGGCUUGUUAAGUCGCGUGUGAAAGCCCUCGGCUCAACUGAGGAAGUGCACCCGAAACUGGCGAGCUUGAGUACGAAAGAGGAUCGCGGAAUUCCCGGUGUAGAGGUGAAAUUCGUAGAUAUCGGGAGGAACACCAGUGGCGAAGGCGGCUCACUGGACUGGUAUUGACGCUGAGGUGCGAAAGCGUGGGGAGCAAACAGG
rnacentral:rRNA from 1 species